GAGGAAAGAAGCUCUUCCCCAUUCUGGAGGUGCGGGCAGUUAUACUGCGGUACCUUCUACCUGAUGGCAUUAAGGAGAAGAGUGCAUGGGACAGGGUAUUCUGGCGAGUUGGUGGCGUGCGGCGUGUCGUUGAGAGGAAAUGGGAGCCGGAAGGGAAGAGCACCGACAGGAAGGAAGAAAGAGAAAGGGAGUGACUCGGCAGUGUGUGUCUUCGGAGCGCUUAUUCGUCCCGCUGUGAGUUGUUACCAGGCCCAACACUUGUCCGGGGCUCUUGUCAGCACUGGAAUGACUUCAGAAGCUAUUGGAGAGCUCAGUCUACAAGGCAGAUAUUUUCUCU